ensembl:snoRNA
AAUCUUAAAAUAAAUAAAUAAAAAUAAAAAAUUUAAAAAUUGCAGCGAUUUGAGACACAGGUUAUGCUUCCAUCACAGCAAGUUUAUUGCUGCAGUGACAAUGAGACCUGUAACAUUU